UAUAUACAGGGUGUAUCAAAAAAAACUGAACAGAUCUGAAAUUGCUCUCAAUUUCGCAAAACACCUAUUUGUAUCUGGUUUUUUAUAUAUAUAGCUUCUUUGGGUACUUAUAAUGUAAAAUAAUGAAAAAAAUUUCUCGAACUCAAAUUCUGUGAACCAGGGGGGUGUGUCUUUCCCAACAAACUAAAAAUGGCUCGCGCACAAAAUUUAAAAGCUGUAAUCAUAUUUUGAGUUAAUAGAUUGAAAAUUUGUCGGG